rnacentral:rRNA from 1 species
AUUGAACGCUGGCGGCAUGCCUUACACAUGCAAGUCGAACGGCAGCACGGGAGCAAUCCUGGUGGCGAGUGGCGAACGGGUGAGUAAUAUAUCGGAACGUGCCCAGUCGUGGGGGAUAACGCAGCGAAAGCUGUGCUAAUACCGCAUACGAUCUAUGGAUGAAAGCGGGGGACCGCAAGGCCUCGCGCGAUUGGAGCGGCCGAUAUCAGAUUAGCUAGUUGGUGGGGUAAAGGCCCACCAAGGCGACGAUCUGUAGCUGGUCUGAGAGGACGACCAGCCACACUGGAACUGAGACACGGUCCAGACUCCUACGGGAGGCAGCAGUGGGGAAUUUUGGACAAUGGGCGCAAGCCUGAUCCAGCAAUGCCGCGUGCAGGAUGAAGGCCUUCGGGUUGUAAACUGCUUUUGUACGGAACGAAACGGUGAGCUUUAACACAGUUUGCUAAUGACGGUACCGUAAGAAUAAGCACCGGCUAACUACGUGCCAGCAGCCGCGGUAACAC